UUGAGAAAAAGAAUUUAUUUUAAUUCCAACAAAAAUGAUUUACAAAAACAUUUGUAAAUUUAGUUAUUAAAUUUAUAUGCAUUGCAUAUUUAUUUAAUUUAGCAAUCAAAGCAUUUUCACGAGCUUUUAUUUAAGCAAACACUGAAGAAUUAUUACAGUUUUCAUAGUACAACCGGGAAGACUUUUUAUUUUAUUAUUUUAUUCCUCCCACUACUCCCACCUAUUUCCACUCACACGUUACUUUUGUCUUCCACCCAUCCACCACCUAUCUCCACUUUACAACACUAAAAAUUAGCUAAAUUCCCAUCCACCACCUACUCCCACCCUGUACUUACUCUCUUUCCAGCUUUAAACCAUGAUGGAAAGUAAAUAUUUUAGUCAUGUUUCCACUCUUCUCCUACGCCAAUAAUUCACAAGUCACCAACCUCAACAUAUACUCAUUCAGAGUUCAAGUUUAGCCAAGAACAACAGAAAGCAAUUCAUUCUCCUCACAAAUCAAGCAAUCGAGCCAAUUCAGAUUUCAACGGCUCAACUCAAAACUUCUAAAGGUUGAGCAGUUGAUGGAAUGGAAUGAUGUUGAGCGGGUGUUCCUUUGACAUUUCAAGAAAUGUAACCUUGAGUAUACAUCUUCAUAUGUAUAUCUCACACGUUUUCCGCUGCAAAACACUUUGAUUAAGAUAGCUCUAUGAUAUGAAGUUGUGAUACGUGUUAUUGGGUAACCACCUUAAUCAGUUCUCAAUUAUGUGUAUCCAAAUAAUCAUAUAUGAUCCUAGCAUUUUAUCUAUGAGUGACAUUUCCAUAUACUUUAAUGUUAA